UACCCACAAUCCUUUGCUCUUUUCAGACAGUCAAGCUAAUGCGCACCGGGAAAUUCAGCAGUGAAGGCAUGGCACAUGUAUUCUCCAUUCUAUUCAUCUACUCCUAUGACAAGGCCUAUGAAAACUUAUGUCAGAAAGGGGGACUGCCUGAAGGUUUUUGCAUACUGAAGCAUGGACUUACACCAUUGCAUUUCAUUUAGAUGCUGGGAGGCGGUGUGUAGAGAGGAGCUGUCUUAAAAGCCCCAUCAGUGCAUGGGUCCCUCAUCACUGGAAGCCAUGGAGGACCUAAACUGUGUGACUGUGGGCACACUAAAGCGUAGAGUACGACAAAGGAAACGGAUUCAUGAGAUUAUCAGGACCAAAUUGCAGCGAAAACUCUCCUGCUCAGGAUCUAAAGUGAAGAGCACUCUAACAGGCUUCUUCCCCGUAGUGAAAUGGCUACCCAAGUACAAGGUGAAGGACUAUAUAUGGGGAGAUCUGAUGUCUGGGCUCAUAAUUGGCAUUAUAUUGAUCCCUCAAGCCAUUGCAUACUGCCUGUUGGCGGGCUUGGAUCCUAUCUAUGGCUUGUACACUUCAUUUUUUUCAAACAUCAUAUACUUCUUCAUGGGGACGUCAAGACAUGUUUCUGUGGGCAUCUUCAGCCUCAUGAGUCUGAUGGUUGGACAAGUUGUGGACCGAGAGGUCUACCUUGCAGGCUUUGAUCUGAAUGAAGACAGUACGAAAAGCGCAUUUGGGAUAAAUGGUACUGGGGACGCUAACAGUACUCUGGUCAACUUGAAGAUCAUGGCACUGGAUAUGGAAUGUGGAAAGGAGUGCUAUGCCAUUGGCAUUGCCACAGCAGUAACAUUUCUUGCUGGAGUCUACCAGGUGCUGAUGGCCGUUCUCAGGCUGGGGUUUGUCUCUGUUUAUCUGUCUGCUCCUAUGCUUGAUGGCUUUGCCACUGGGGCAUCUUGCACUAUCCUCACUGUCCAAGCCAAGUACCUGCUUGGCCUUAAGAUCCCUCGACACCAAGGCUACGGCACUGUGGUGGUCACUUGGAUCAAUAUGUUUAAGAACAUCCACAAAACCAACUUCUGUGAUUUAAUAACAAGUGCCAUUUGCAUCAUAGUGCUGGUUGCAGGAAAAGAGAUCCAGGAUCGCUAUAAGGACCGUUUGAAGAUACCACUGCCCACAGAACUGGUGGUAGUGGCAGUUGCCACAAUAGUCUCCCACUUUGCUGAUCUAAACGGACAGUUUAGCUCCAGUAUCUCAGGUGCCAUUCCAACUGGUUUCAUUCCUCCAAAGGUGCCCAGUAUUGAACUGAUGCCCCAUGUAGCAUUUGAUGCCAUUCCAUUAGCUGUCAUUAGUUUUGCUUUUACCGUUUCUCUGUCUGAGAUGUUUGCUAAAAAGAAUGGUUACACAGUUAGGCCCAAUCAAGAAAUGAUAGCAAUUGGGUUUUGCAAUAUAAUUCCUUCAUUUUUUCAUUCUUUCACUACAAGUGCAGCCCUUGCGAAAACUAUGGUGAAGGACUCAACAGGUUGCCAGACUCAGGUCUCCAGUAUAGUGAGUGCCUUAGUGGUUCUUCUGGUCCUUCUUUUCUUUGCACCAUUUUUCUACGCUCUCCAGAAAUGUGUCCUCGCCUGCAUCAUCAUCGUCAGUCUGCGGGGUGCCCUGCGCAAAUUUCGAGACGUCCCUACGCAAUGGCGUGAAAGCAAGAUUGAGGCAAUUGUCUGGUUGGUGACCAUGAGCUCAACUGCUUUAAUUAGCGUGGAGCUUGGAUUGCUGAUUGGUGUGGUCUUCUCUAUGAUCUGUGUGGUGGGCCAGACUCAGAAUCCUAAAGUUUCGUUACUGGGACAAAUUGAACAAACCAACGACUUUGAGGACAUGG
ensembl:lncRNA